rnacentral:tmRNA from 1 species
GGGGGUGUCUUGGAAUUCGACAGACGUAGAUCUGCGUUAACUGCAUUCCGUAGGUUACGGCUACGUUAAAACGUUACAGUUAUCAUAACUGCAAAAAAUGAAAAUUCUUACGCUUUAGCAGCUUAAUAACCUGUUAGCGUGAUCCGCGUAGGUUCGCCCGGCGCUUAUUGUGGGUCUCAAAAAUUACGGGAUACGAUUAGUCUUUCCACCUGCAAGGCUGAUAAGAGAUCAUCAGGUUAGCAUUAGUUGGGUAGCCCCGAUAUACGGCGGACAGCUAGUGUGAAAUAAUAAAUAGUAUAAAUAUGAAUGUAGACGUUAAUGAUAGGAUGCGUUUGGACAGGGGUUCGAACCCCCUCACCUCCA